CUGAGUAUUAAGGAUGGGUACUUAUCUUUUAAAGCCAACUGCUCUGCUCUCAUCACCACCUUCAGCCUCUGGGUCUAGAGGACACUUCAGUCAUUCCCAUAAGCUCAGAUCCUUCCAAGCAACUC